rnacentral:rRNA from 1 species
AUUGAACGCUGGCGGCAGGCCUAACACAUGCAAGUCGAGCGGAUGAAGGGAGCUUGCUCCUGGAUUCAGCGGCGGACGGGUGAGUAAUGCCUAGGAAUCUGCCUGGUAGUGGGGGAUAACGUCCGGAAACGGGCGCUAAUACCGCAUACGUCCUGAGGGAGAAAGUGGGGGAUCUUCGGACCUCACGCUAUCAGAUGAGCCUAGGUCGGAUUAGCUAGUUGGUGGGGUAAAGGCCUACCAAGGCGACGAUCCGUAACUGGUCUGAGAGGAUGAUCAGUCAGAAGUGAAGUAAGGCGGGGUACAGGCGAAAACCGGAUGCCACCGUGGGGUAUGUGUGAAGAUGGGCGAAGGCUUGAUACAGCCUUUAGGUGUGUGGGAAGGAGAUUUACUAAUUGUCUAGCACUUUAGGUUGGGAGAAAAGAAAGUAAGUUGGCACCUUGCUGGCUAGAGGUUACGGACAUAGUAAGGAACGGCUAACUUCGUG